rnacentral:rRNA from 1 species
UUGAACGCUGGCGGCAUGCCUUACACAUGCAAGUCGAACGGCAGCACGGGUGCUUGCACCUGGUGGCGAGUGGCGAACGGGUGAGUAAUGUCUGGGAAACUGCCUGAUGGAGGGGGAUAACUACUGGAAACGGUAGCUAAUACCGCAUAACGUCGCAAGACCAAAGUGGGGGACCUUCGGGCCUCAUGCCAUCAGAUGUGCCCAGAUGGGAUUAGCUAGUAGGUGGGGUAAUGGCUCACCUAGGCGACGAUCCCUAGCUGGUCUGAGAGGACGAUCAGCCACACUGGGACUGAGACACGGCCCAGACUCCUACGGGAGGCAGCAGUGGGGAAUUUUGGACAAUGGGGGAAACCCUGAUCCAGCAAUGCCGCGUGAGUGAAGAAGGCCUUCGGGUUGUAAAGCUCUUUUGUCAGGGAAGAAACACCGGCUCUAACACAGUCCGGGAAUGACGGUACCUGAAGAAUAAGCACCGGCUAACUACGUG